CCAACUCUUGUUGCAUCAGGUACUUCCCGAGGUCAGCUGUAGCUGUUUCACUGGAUGGGCUGAUGUUGUACAUAGGAAAUGAA